GACGAACGCUGGCGGCGUGCUUAACACAUGCAAGUCGAACGGUAAGGCCCUUCGGGGUACACGAGUGGCGAACGGGUGAGUAACACGUGGGUGAUCUGCCCUGCACUUCGGGAUAAGCCUGGGAAACUGGGUCUAAUACCGGACAGGACCACUGCCUGCAUGGGUGGUGGUGGAAAGCUUUUGCGGUGUGGGAUGGGCCCGCGGCCUAGCAGCUUGUUGGUGGGGUGAUGGCCUACCAAGGCGACGACGGGUAGCCGGCCUGAGAGGGUGACCGGCCACACUGGGACUGAGAUACGGCCCAGACUCCUACGGGAGGCAGCAGUGGGGAAUAUUGCACAAUGGGCGCAAGCCUGAUGCAGCGACGCCGCGUGAGGGAUGACGGCCUUCGGGUUGUAAACCUCUUUCAGCACCGACGAAGCGCGAGUGACGGUAGGUGCAGAAGAAGGACCGGCCAACUACGUGCCAGCCGCCGCUGUAA
rnacentral:rRNA from 1 species